UGAGGAAUAUUGGUCAAUGGACGCAAGUCUGAACCAGCCAUGCCGCGUGCAGGAUGACGGCUCUAUGAGUUGUAAACUGCUUUUGUACGAGGGUAAACGCAGAUACGUGUAUCUGUCUGAAAGUAUCGUACGAAUAAGGAUCGGCUAACUCCGUGCCAGCAGCCGCGGUAAUACGGAGGAUCCAAGCGUUAUCCGGAUUUAUUGGGUUUAAAGGGUGCGUAGGCGGUUUUAUAAGUUAGAGGUGAAAAUUCGGGGCUCAACUCCGGACGUGCCUCUAAUACUGUAUGACUAGAGAUUAGAUGCGGUAGGCGGAAUGUAUGGUGUAGCGGUGAAAUGCGUAGAGAUCAUACAGAACACCGAUUGCGAAGGCAGCUUACCAAACUACAUCUGACGUUGAGGCACGAAAGCGUGGGGGAGCAAACAGGAUUAGAUACC
rnacentral:rRNA from 1 species